AAAGAAACCAACCGGGAUUGCCUCAGUAACGGCGAGUGAAGCGGCAAGAGCUCAAAUUUGAAAUCUGGCCCCCUCGGGGUCCGAGUUGUAAUUUGCAGAGGAUGCUUCGGGUGCGGCCCCCGUCUAAGUGCCCUGGAACGGGCCGUCAUAGAGGGUGAGAAUCCCGUCUGGGACGGGGUGUCCGCGUCCGUGUGAAGCUCCUUCGACGAGUCGAGUUGUUUGGGAAUGCAGCUCUAAAUGGGUGGUAAAUUUCAUCUAAAGCUAAAUACUGGCCGGAGACCGAUAGCGCACAAGUAGAGUGAUCGAAAGAUGAAAAGCACUUUGAAAAGAGAGUUAAAAAGCACGUGAAAUUGUUGAAAGGGAAGCGCUUGCGACCAGACUCGCCCGCGGGGUUCAGCCGGCAUUCGUGCCGGUGUACUUCCCCGUGGGCGGGCCAGCGUCGGUUUGGGCGGCCGGUCAAAGGCCCCCGGAAUGUAGUGCCCCUACGGGGGCACCUUAUAGCCGGGGGUGCAAUGCGGCCAGCCUGGACCGAGGAACGCGCUUCGGCACGGACGCUGGCAUAAUGGUUGCAAACGAC
rnacentral:rRNA from 2 species